AUCCAUCCCGUGCAUUGGGUUGGAUGCAUCGUUUUCUUCGCUCGUUCUGUUUUGUCAGAUCUCUGACACUCAUCCUCUAGACUAGACUAGCCAGGGUCCUUUUUGUUAACUGUAUAAGUUGAUUUUUUUUUGGCCUUAUUUUGUAGAGUAAAACUUGUCAGCGGAAGUUCAGCUUCAUGCAUCGACUUUGUAACGAUAUAUAUUAAUUGUUCAAGUGAGCGUUAAGUAGCAUAAAAUGGUCUGAUUCUGUUUCGGCAGGAUUUUGUAUCACAUUGCAAGUUUGCAGGUUUUUUUCUUGAUAACUUUGCAAGUAUGCAGUUUAAUCCUUGCUAGGCUGAACUUCUCGCGACUGCUGAGUUGAUGUAUUAAACUGAAC
rnacentral:lncRNA from 1 species